GGAGUUAGCCGGUGCUUCUUCUGUGAGUGAUGUCCUUCCUGCCGGUUAUUGACCCGCAGGCCUUCUUCCUCACUGAAAGUGCUUUACAACCCGAAGGCCUUCUUCACACACGCGGCAUGGCUGGAUCAGGGUUGCCCCCAUUGUCCAAUAUUCCCCACUGCUGCCUCCCGUAGGAGUCUGGGCCGUGUCUCAGUCCCAGUGUGGCUGAUCAUCCUCUCAGACCAGCUACGGAUCGUCGCCUUGGUGAGCCGUUACCUCACCAACCAGCUAAUCCGACAUAGGCUCAUCCGAUAGCGCGAGGCCCGAAGGUCCCCCGCUUUCCCCCGUAGGGCGUAUGCGGUAUUAGCCUGGGUUUCCCCCAGGGUUAUCCCCCACUACCGGGCAGAUUCCUAUGCAUUACUCACCCGUCCGCCGCUCGCCACCAGGGAGCAAGCUCCCCGUGCUGCCGCUCGACUUGCAUGUGUUAGGCCUGCCGCCAGCGUUCAAUCUGAGCCAUAAUCAAACUCUGA
rnacentral:rRNA from 1 species